CCUACGGGAGGCAGCAGUGGGGAAUUUUGGACAAUGGGCGAAAGCCUGAUCCAGCAAUGCCGCGUGAGUGAAGAAGGCCUUCGGGUUGUAAAGCUCUUUUGUCAGGGAAGAAACGGUGAAAGCUAAUAUCUUUUGCUAAUGACGGUACCUGAAGAAUAAGCACCGGCUAACUACGUGCCAACAGCCGCGGUAAUACGUAGGGUGCAAGCGUUAAUCGGAAUUACUGGGCGUAAAGCGUGCGCAGGCGGUUUUGUAAGUCUGAUGUGAAAUCCCCGGGCUCAACCUGGGAAUUGCAUUGGAGACUGCAAGGCUAGAAUCUGGCAGAGGGGGGUAGAAUUCCACGUGUAGCAGUGAAAUGCGUAGAUAUGUGGAGGAACACCGAUGGCGAAGGCAGCCCCCUGGGUCAAGAUUGACGCUCAUGCACGAAAGCGUGGGGAGCAAACAGGAUUAGAUACCCUGGUAGUCCACGCCCUAAACGAUGUCUACUAGUUGUCGGGUCUUAAUUGACUUGGUAACGCAGCUAACGCGUGAAGUAGACCGCCUGGGGAGUACGGUCGCAAGAUUAAAACUCAAAUGAAAUUGACGG
rnacentral:rRNA from 1 species